rnacentral:rRNA from 1 species
AAAUUGAAGAGUUUGAUCAUGGCUCAGAUUGAACGCUGGCGGCAGGCCUAACACAUGCAAGUCGAACGGUAACAGAAAUCAGCUUGCUGAUUUGCUGACGAGUGGCGGACGGGUGAGUAAUGUCUGGGAAACUGCCUGAUGGAGGGGGAUAACUACUGGAAACGGUA